rnacentral:lncRNA from 1 species
UUUUCUACAGUACUAUUCCUGCAAUAGUAGCCAAGUUCUCACUUAUUAAGAUUGUUAAAUUUAUAUUGGAUAAACAAGUAAAUUUCAUGAAAUAUCAGAGCUUAUAUAACUCAAGAUACAUUAUAUGUAAAAUAAAGCCCCACCUGUGUAGGCAAAGCCUGUCGUUUAAACCUAACCCUGAAUCGGAAUAGCAGUCUUAAUCCCCGUGAUCCACGAAGACUACAAGAAAUCCAUAAUCUUAAUAGGUCUCCUGAAUCUAAUCUUAAGUUAUAGUGAAAGUGCUUAACAUUCUAUAAUUCACUUAGCCGGAUUUUCAAAAUUUUAUAUAUAAAUAGUUGAAGACUAAAAUUUUAUAUAUCCUUACUCGAUUUUCUUUAAUAAUAGGAUUUAAUGAAACCAAUUAAGUCAUAAAUACUUUAUUGCAUAAUGUAAAUGCAAUUCCAUGUCAUGCUUAGCAUUUAAUAAAUAAUUACUUAAAAUAUGCACAUAAUAAUAAUAUAAUAUUAUUAUGCAAAUCAUUCUUUAAAAUAAUUAAUGGUCUAAUUAAAUAAAUUUGUGCACCCUAUUUAAAUUAAUAAAAAGGCAGCCCUUAUUAAAACAGAAGGUCCAACUUAAAAAAAAAUAUUAAGCCCAAUUUGACUUUAUUAAGGAAAUUCGUAACCCAGAUUAUUAAUAAAAGAACAGCCCAUAAAAUAAUUCAUUUGGUCUCAAUACUUUAAUAAAAUCGGCCCAGUAACUAAGCCCAAGACUAAAAGAACAAACCCAGCCCAAAACCUUAACCUACUCACUUCUCCCUCUUUAUACUCCCCCUUCCUUCUCCAGCUGCGCCCACCUCCCUCUCGCCCAUCCCGUCCCAUUCUCUCUUCAUGCCACAACCCACCGCCGCAGCCUCCCUUCCGACGAAUGCACGGCCGGAAGGCCGCUGCCCUCGUCUCCUUCUCUCUCUCCCAGCCCUCAACACACGACACACUCACACAAACACAAACACAAACACACGCACACACUCCCAGCUCUCCCUCUCGGCUCACACCAGAACACCCCUUUUCUUCUUCUUCCCCUUUUUUCUUAAUUUCCAAUGAAUAACCAGAAAAUAGCUUGUUCUCUCGUAGACCUCACUGUCGUUCCCCAUCGUCGACUAUCAGCAGCUAAGAAAGCCGCUGCUGAUGCCGAUACCGACGCCGGCUAGUACUCUCAACGCUGACAACGACACAAGAAACUGAGCCACAACUUAGCUCAAACUCAGCCAAGACUCGAUGUUCCCGAUCGGCACCCUCAAAGCAAACAACAAAGCAAUAAACCCAUCCCCAAGACUAAUUCGAUUGUGUUAUUCUGAGCUCAGGUUCUUGUAAAAAUUCUAGGGUUAUAAAAAAGAAAAUUAUAAAAGCAGUGCAGAAAUCAAAGCUCACCUCGUUUUGUUGGUGUAAUGGAUUUGUCUAGUGUGAUUUUUUGUUGGAUUAUGAUCAAUUUCGCACUUUCACUGGCAAAGAUUCUGACAGGAUUAAGAAGGUGUUACGAAGGUGUGCAAACGCAGGAAGUAAAAGGUGAAAGUGAAAAAGAAAAUCUGUGGUGGAGAUAAGAUAAAGCAGAAUUCUGUUUUUUUGCAAAGAACCCACAAAUAGAACUAAAAUUACCAAAAUGCCCUGGACACUAUUUUUUGAAUAGUACUAUUCCUGCAAUAGUAGCAAAGUUCUCACUUAUUA